UAGCCCACAAAAAAGAAUGGCGUAGUUAUGAUAUUCAGGUCUGGAAAAUGUACCAAUCUUGUGGUCGCAGAGUCCUCUGCUACAAUGCAGCGUGCUUUGUGAGGAAACAUGUCCAUUUUCCUUAGCCGAGCGUGCUAACGCAAGGCAGGGGGGAGGAAACCCAGCUCUGUGUGAGAAGUUUCUGAGCGCGUUCAUGUGAAGCCCUACACACGUUCACGUUUGGCAGCUCCACGUCGACAUUCCUUCAGAGAGGGAGCCGAGCCGGGGGUCCGAGCAGAAGGGUUUACUUCAGGCCAGAAAACUGGACAGGAAAGCGAGAAUCUGUGGGACACGCUAACGUAAGAAGGCAAAUGCAGUUUCACUGUCGCUUAGAAGUCAGACAGUUACCAGUUUGGGUUUGCGGAGGAGUUGCACUAUGCUUGAAACUUCAUGGAGGCAUGGAGACUCCGCUAUGUCUGCUGCAGUCACCUACCAGCUCACCUGGUAGACUUUAUUACUUCAGCUGUUUUCAGAUAGCCAGUACAGUGUAACGCUCCCUGCAAGGGCCUGCAAGACCCAGAGUAGUAGAGCGGACUACCAUCCCAACCAGUGGAACAAGAACUCACUGAAUGAAACCUACAGCGAUGUGUGCAAAACUUGAUGUGUUGCAUAGACCACUUAUUUCAAUAAUUACUACUGUGAUGUACUGUUGAAUACACAUGCAGCAAGGCUCCUCAGGCAAAGUUCUGUGGUCCACUAUGACUGUGUGAAUGUGUGGUCAGUGCAUUACAGAACUUUGCUUUAAGAGCUCUCGUCGUCUGGCAGGUGGUGUGUAAAAAGGACAAAGUGACAAACAUUCGGACCAGUUGACUGAGCCAAUGUUGAUUUCAUACACUAAGCUGUGGUUCUUCAGACAACUGCCCUGGCUAACUGACAGCUGAUGUGCUGUCAAAUGUACUUAUUGUGCCUGAACGAUUAUUACAUAUACUGUACUGGAAUUCAUUGUUGACAAUGGCCAGAACAUUAAGGUAAAAAUCCCUUCUUUCCUGCCACAUUUUCACAACGGUUUAUCCCCCCUUCCCUACAUAGGUACUGUUUUAUAUCCAUAUAUAAAAUCUUAGCGCCCCCUCCUGGCCACAAGAGCAUCUCCUGCUGGAAUCACAGGCUAGGCCCAAACAUGCUUAGCUUCACUGGAUUAUUCUAGUCUGCAUUGUGGUGAAUUUCACGGUGGUAUGGAAGCUUUUGGCAUUUUUCAGAGGGGUCAAACUGCAUUCCUGAAGAGCCACAGAAUUACACAGUGUAAUGUUUCCCAGCUUCAGCUCACACAAAUGAACUCCAGAAGAGCCUGACUGUGUUAAUUAGCUAUGUUAAUACUUUGACACUGUGCUGGUGCUUUGCUUGUAACAAAGGUGUAGAUAAUCUAACCGUACCCAGAUUAUAUCAUCCAUAAUGUAACUAAAUAUAUCACCACUUUAUAGGAACGCUUCCUUUUUGGCGCAGUGUAGCACAGGCAUUGCAGUGUAUAAAACAGGCCCCAGACAGAGUUACAUUAAAACAUACAUGGUUUGCGUAUCAAAAGGUUUUUCUGAUGUUGCUGCAGAUGCCAUAGAGUUAAAUCUGGUGGAACAGGAUACUCUUUCUGCAGUUUUGACUAAACCGCUGGGUAUUUGCCACCUACUUUUUUGAACAGAGGAAUGUAAACAUGUCUAUAAAACAUGAUUUAUGAACUUACCGUGUUUGUUUGCAGCAGUAAAGAUGUUAUUGUAUCAUUAUAUCACUGCUCUCUGUAUACCACAUGCUUGAAGGUGAAGAUAAUUUUUAAAUUCAUAAUAAUAAUGACUCAAUAAAAAUAAAUGCUGUUUCGUGUGUAUCACCGGAUGUUAAUGAGUUGAAUUUUAGAACAGUUGACCCCAAGCCUGGUUAUACCUGAAGAUAACUGGACUGCACCCUUUCACCAUCUGUGUGUCCAUGUCUCUUGUCUUGUUGUUUGAAUAUAUUUGAGACUUCCUCUAUUAAAAUGAAAAUUCUACAUAAAUUACAUUGCUCUGCAAUCUAAAAAUGAGCAGACAACCAUAACGGGUCAUAACUGUU